GCUCAGGAUGAACUUAGCUACAGGCUUAACACAUGCAAGUCGAGGGGAAACGACAUCGAAAGCUUGCUUUUGAUGGGCGUCGACCGGCGCACGGGUGAGUAACGCGUAUCCAACCUGCCCACCACUUGGGGAUAACCUUGCGAAAGUAAGACUAAUACCCAAUGACGUCUCUAGAAGACAUCUGAAAGAGAUUAAAGAUUUAUCGGUGAUGGAUGGGGAUGCGUCUGAUUAGCUUGUUGGCGGGGUAACGGCCCACCAAGGCGACGAUCAGUAGGGGUUCUGAGAGGAAGGUCCCCCACAUUGGAACUGAGACACGGUCCAAACUCCUACGGGAGGCAGCAGUGAGGAAUAUUGGUCAAUGGACGAGAGUCUGAACCAGCCAAGUAGCGUGCAGGAUGACGGCCCUAUGGGUUGUAAACUGCUUUUAUAAGGGAAUAAAGUGAGUCUCGUGAGACUUUUUGCAUGUACCUUAUGAAUAAGGACCGGCUAAUUCCGUGCCAGCAGCCGCGGUAAUACGGAAGGUCCGGGCGUUAUCCGGAUUUAUUGGGUUUAAAGGGAGCGUAGGCCGGAGAUUAAGCGUGUUGUGAAAUGUAGACGCUCAACGUCUGCACUGCAGCGCGAACUGGUUUCCUUGAGUACGCACAAAGUGGGCGGAAUUCGUGGUGUAGCGGUGAAAUGCUUAGAUAUCACGAAGAACUCCGAUUGCGAAGGCAGCUCACUGGAGCGCAACUGACGCUGAAGCUCGAAAGUGCGGGUAUCGAACAGGAUUAGAUACCCUGGUAGUCCGCACGGUAAACGAUGGAUGCCCGCUGUUGGUCUGAAUAGGUCAGCGGCCAAGCGAAAGCAUUAAGCAUCCCACCUGGGGAGUACGCCGGCAC
rnacentral:rRNA from 1 species